AUGCAAGUCGAACGGUGAACACGGAGCUUGCUCUGUGGGAUCAGUGGCGAACGGGUGAGUAACACGUGAGCAACCUGCCCCUGACUCUGGGAUAAGCGCUGGAAACGGCGUCUAAUACUGGAUAUGUGACGUGAUCGCAUGGUCUGCGUCUGGAAAGAAUUUCGGUUGGGGAUGGGCUCGCGGCCUAUCAGCUUGUUGGUGAGGUAAUGGCUCACCAAGGCGUCGACGGGUAGCCGGCCUGAGAGGGUGACCGGCCACACUGGGACUGAGACACGGCCCAGACUCCUACGGGAGGCAGCAGUGGGGAAUAUUGCACAAUGGGCGCAAGCCUGAUGCAGCAACGCCGCGUGAGGGAUGACGGCCUUCGGGUUGUAAACCUCUUUUAGCAGGGAAGAAGCGAAAGUGACGGUACCUGCAGAAAAAGCGCCGGCUAACUACGUGCCAGCAGCCGCGGUAAUACGUAGGGCGCAAGCGUUAUCCGGAAUUAUUGGGCGUAAAGAGCUCGUAGGCGGUUUGUCGCGUCUGCUGUGAAAUCCGGAGGCUCAACCUCCGGCCUGCAGUGGGUACGGGCAGACUAGAGUGCGGUAGGGGAGAUUGGAAUUCCUGGUGUAGCGGUGGAAUGCGCAGAUAUCAGGAGGAACACCGAUGGCGAAGGCAGAUCUCUGGGACGUAACUGACGCUGAGGAGCGAAAGGGUGGGGAGCAAACAGGCUUAGAUACCCUGGUAGUCCACCCCGUAAACGUUGGGAACUAGUUGUGGGGUCCAUUCCACGGAUUCCGUGACGCAGCUAACGCAUUAAGUUCCCCGCCUGGGGAGUACGGCCGCAAGGCUAAAACUCAAAGGAAUUGACGGGGACCCGCACAAGCGGCGGAGCAUGCGGAUUAAUUCGAUGCAACGCGAAGAACCUUACCAAGGCUUGACAUAUACGAGAACGGGCCAGAAAUGGUCAACUCUUUGGACACUCGUAAACAGGUGGUGCAUGGUUGUCGUCAGCUCGUGUCGUGAGAUGUUGGGUUAAGUCCGCAACGAGCGCAACCCUCGUUCUAUGUUGCCAGCACGUAAUGGGGGGAACUCAUGGGAUACUGCCGGGGUCAACUCGG
rnacentral:rRNA from 1 species